GUGCCAGCCGCCGCGGUAAUACGUAGGUGGCAAGCGUUGUCCGGAUUUAUUGGGCGUAAAGGGUGCGCAGGCGGUUUUUUAAGUCAGAUGUGAAAUCCCACGGCUUAACUGUGGAGCGUCAUUGGAAACUGGGUGACUUGAGUGCAGAAGAGGAAAGUAGAAUUCCAAGUGUAGCGAUGAAAUGCGUAGAGAUUAGGAGGAACACCAGUGGCGAAGGCGACUUUCUGGUCUGAAACUGACGCUGAGGCAUGAAAGCAUGGGGAGCAAACAGGAUUAGAUACCCUGGUAGUCCAUGCCGUAAACGAUGAGUGCUAAGUGUAAGAGGGUU
rnacentral:rRNA from 1 species